rnacentral:rRNA from 1 species
GACGAACGCUGGCGGCGUGCCUAAUACAUGCAAGUAGAACGCAGUUGCGAACGGGUGAGUAACGCGUCGGUAACUGCCUAUUAGAGGUGGAUAACUAUUGGAAACGAUAGCUAAUACCGCAUACUAGUAGAUGGACCUUCGUUGUAUUAGCUAGUAGGUAGGGUAAUGGCCUACCUAGGCAACGCUACAUAGCCGACCUGGGAGGGUGAUCGGCCACAAUGGGACUGAGACACGGCCCAGACUCCUACGGGAGGCAGCAGUAGGGAAUCUUCGGCAAUGGGGGGAAACCUGACCGAGCAACGCCGCGGGAGUGAAGAAGGUUUUCGGAUCGGAAAGCUCUGUUGUGAAGGAAGCGGUACUUAACCAGAAAGGGACGGCUAACUACGUGCCAGCAGCCGCGGUAAUAC